GAUCGGCAGGCGUCUUGUGAAAGCCCCCGGCUCAACCGGGGAACAGCAGGGCGAACCGCCGGUCUCGAGGUUGGUAGGGGUCGCUGGAACGCUCGGUGGAGCGGUGAAAUGCGUAGAUAUCGAGCGGAACGCCGGAGGUGAAGACGGGCGACUGGGCCAAUCCUGACGCUGAGGCACGAAAGCGUGGGGAUCAAACAGGAUUAGAUACCCUGGUAGUCCACGCUGUAAACGAUGCGCACUUGAUCGGUGCGGGUUUGACCCCGUGUCGGUCGCAGAGAAAUCGCUAAGUGCGCCGCCUGGGAAGUACGGUCGCAAGGCUAAAAAUCAAAGGAAUUGACGGGGGCUCACACAAGCGGUGGAGCAUGUUGCUUAAUUCGAUGCAACGCGAAGAACCUUACCCGGGUUUGACAUGUACGGAUUAGUUCCUGGAAACAGGAAUGACGCCCGCAAGGGUGGAACGUACACAGGUGCUGCAUGGCUGUCGUCAGCUCGUGCUGUGAAGUGUCGGGUUAAGUCCUCUAACGAGCGCAACCCCUGUCGCUAGUUGCCAGCGCGUCAUGGCGGGGACUCUAGCGAGACUGCCGGUGUCAAACCGGAGGAAGGUGGGGAUGACGUCAAGUCCUCAUGGCCUUUAUAUCCGGGGAUGCAAACGUGCUACAAUGGCGCGCACAAAGCGACGCAAGGCCGCAAGGCGGAGCAAAUCGCAAAAAACGCGCCCCAGUUCGGAUUGCAGGCUGCAACU
rnacentral:rRNA from 1 species